GUCCUAGACACGAAUCUACCUUUGAAUGAAAUCCAAAUGAAGACUAACUGCUUCUGGAAUCCUCUAGAAGCCACACUCAGAGGCUUUUUCCACAAAUGUUUAAUGGAGGAGGAGAGACUCAUCCUGAAUCUGAACUAGGUACCAUCCCAUGAUCUAGGGUUCCUGAAUGGUUAAAAAGUAAAGUACCAGGAUUCACC